ACGAACGCUGGCGGCGUGCUUAACACAUGCAAGUCGAACGGAAAGGCCCUGCUUUUGUGGGGUGCUCGAGUGGCGAACGGGUGAGUAACACGUGAGUAACCUGCCCUUGACUUUGGGAUAACUUCAGGAAACUGGGGCUAAUACCGGAUAGGAGCUCCUGCUGCAUGGUGGGGGUUGGAAAGUUUCGGCGGUUGGGGAUGGACUCGCGGCUUAUCAGCUUGUUGGUGGGGUAGUGGCUUACCAAGGCUUUGACGGGUAGCCGGCCUGAGAGGGUGACCGGCCACAUUGGGACUGAGAUACGGCCCAGACUCCUACGGGAGGCAGCAGUGGGGAAUAUUGCACAAUGGGCGGAAGCCUGAUGCAGCAACGCCGCGUGCGGGAUGACGGCCUUCGGCUUGUAAACCGCUUUCGCCUGUGACGAAGCGUGAGUGACGGUAAUGGGUAAAGAAGCACCGGCUAACUACGUG
rnacentral:rRNA from 1 species